GUCUUGAAACACGGACCAAGGAGUCUAACAUGUGCGCGAGUCAUUGGGACUGCGAAACCUAAAGGCGAAAUGAAAGUGAAGGUCGUACUAAGGUCGACCGAGGGAGGAUGGGCCGCGUUUACGCGCGGCUCCGCACUCCCGGGGCGUCUCGUUCUCAUUGCGAGAAGAGGCGCACCCAGAGCGUACACGUUGGGACCCGAAAGAUGGUGAACUAUGCCUGGUCAGGACGAAGUCAGGGGAAACCCUGAUGGAGGUCCGUAGCGAUUCUGACGUGCAAAUCGAUCGUCGGAACUGGGUAUAGGGGCGAAAGACUAAUCGAACCAUCUAGUAGCUGGUUCCCUCCGAAGUUUCCCUCAGGAUAGCUGGCACUCGUUCGUUCUUAUUGAACGUAAACGAGUCUCAUCUGGUAAAGCGAAUGAUUAGAGGCCUUGGGGCCGAAACGACCUCAACCUAUUCUCAAACUUUAAAUGGGUGAGAUCUCUGGCUUGCUUGAACUAUGAAGCCACGAGAGAUAUUAUAUUACGGAUCAGAGAGCCAAGUGGGCCAUUUUU
rnacentral:rRNA from 1 species